UAUACUUUAGGUGCUUCCUACACCUAUUAGGUUAGGUGGAAUGAUUACAUGGAUUCUGCACAACUAGGUCAAGAAUGUAGAGUUUGCAAAUGAGUAUAUCAAAGAGACUCCCUCCUGUACUUAUGAAGGUAUUGAGUUGAGGUUUCACUGUUCCUCAAGUCUUUCUUCCCCCUGCCCAUGCUCCUGUUUCUUAUAUAUGACAUUAAGGAAGAAUCAUGGCAACACAUCUAAAACCUUCAAGUCUGGCCAUGGGAACACAGGAAGUAGAUAGUGUAGUACAGAUAUCAAAUGUGAAUAGAGAAAAGAAUUGUAUACUCCAUGUGGUCCUUUGCUUUAUUGAUGAUGGUAAUUUUUGAAUAACAUAAGGAUUUGGGAAUUUAUAAUUGAAGUAGGUACACCAUAUUUACACUGUUAUUCUCAGUCUAUAGAUGGGCCCACUUUGUUUCCAAAAUCAUAGCAGAGAAUGGAAUUUGAAAACAGAAUUUUUGAGUACAUAUUCAGGAAUAUUUAUAAUGUCCCCUAUGAAGGAAUGUACAAUAGGAAAGUGAAAUACAAUAUUCAUUCAACGAAAGGUGUGUAGGUAAAGUACUGGCCUUUAUAAAAUUAAGAAAACCUAGAAAAUUGAACUGUAUGUCACAGGAAUUGACCUGGGAAUAAAAAUAUUAUCCAGAAGAAUCUCCUCCACUCCAAGUUCCUAAAUAAUUUCUAUCCAUGCCAUGCCCCUGACUCAUUUUCUCAAUUCAGAAGUCACUAGCUUUAGAGAGAUGGAGAACGAAAGUUUCCACUGUGUCACAGGAGACAUACCUAAAUUGGCACCCUCAAAACUGGUUAAUGUAAGGAAAGCUGUUUAGAGUCAGGCCAUGGCAGUUCUCAGUGACAAUAUCAUUAGGCUCUCCCUGAAAAAUCUCUUGUAUCCUUGAGAGCACUAGCUUCUUCUGUGAUGUAAUAAGUGUUGUCCUGACUGCAAAUGCCUCUCAGAUAUUACUUCAGUACCUAUAGGUUUUACUAAUUGGCCUCAAAUUCAGGGGAAACAGUCAUUAGGGAGGGAGAACAAAGACGAUGAAGAAAUCAGAGAUGGGGAGAACGAAGCUGGUCUUCUGUCUUGGUAUAAAAGAAGGAAGAAAUACAUCAUCCCUGAGAAAUCUCACUGAAGCCUUGGUAGGAGUGGAAUAUAAAAACUCUCAAAACUCAUCCUGGCUGACAAUGUAGAUUAGACGCAUCAGAUGAAAUGAAUUGAAAAACUCUCCUGGGAAUGAAAGUGGUAAGGAAAUCACAUUGAUGUAUCCUAAAUGCAGUGCUAAGAGCAAUAUUCAGACUAGUCUGUGGAGAUGCUGCUGUCAUCAGAGACCACAGACAAUUAGUGGAAUAUGAUUCAGCAUUAAACUGGGAAUGGAAGAUGAUGGUUGAUAUUGUUCUAGUAGAUCUCACUACAUUAAAAAGUGUUUCUUCCAGAUAACUGAAUGAUUAUUGUAAAGCAAAUCCCGGAAUGAACUUAUGAGACCCACCAUCAGCCUGUCAAAUAAUGUGCGAAAGAAGAAAUCUGUGUCUCUCCAGGGACAAAUUGUUGCUUUCAAACCAACAGUAAAGUGUCCAUUCUAUGAAUGAUACAUUGAUAUAUACACAUUAUAGAAGGAUGGAUACAGAGUUUCUUCAGGUCCAUGAAUGAGGUAUUCAGCAGUUGAACUGGAGUAGCAAUGAGGGUAAUUUUUGCCAACUCUUCAGACUUGAGCUCCUUCACUAGGAUCCCCAUGAUUAAAAAAAGAACAAACUUCAGACAAUUUGUCUCAGAUUUUUAUGUAGUUAAGAUUUCCUGGUCUUGGUCCUAGGAAGGAAGGAUAUCUUGCUUUCCAAUUCUUGUUUAUCCUAUAAUCCUCUCUGCUGCAUUCAUGCAAAUAGAUUACUGUGCAUUUCUUUAAUAGGUUACAAUUGCUAUUUUAAUUAUGUUGCCAAGAACUAUAGAAAAAAAGAAGGACUGUAUCAAAGCAUCAUAUGAAAAUCCGACUAAGGUAAUGUGGCCAUUGGAAAUUUGUAACUGACCUGAAACUCUUACUAGAGACAAAAUGCCAUAAAAGGUCUUCUCUAGAUAUCUGGUGUAGUAGUUGGUGUUCCCCAACAGACAGUAAAGGAUGAAUCUCUCUGUACAGAGAAAUCGGACUAGUCACAAUGAUCACAGACUAUGGAACACAUAAUUUAACAAUGACUGACUAUUUUUAAAGUCCUAGAAUCCAUUAGUUUAUUAGUCCAAAAGGCAAGAUGUCUUAUCUGGUCAUUGACAUAUGGAUAAAUAUUCAGUAUGCAGGUUCUAAUGUCUAUGAGGAUUUGGUAUCACUGUGAGUGCAAAAAUGAAAAAGUAAAGGCUUCUUUCUUCCAUGUUUUCUACGGGAAUUCAAAUAGAAUGCAUGGUUUAGAAUACAUUGGGUUUGCCAUUCUCAAACAGACCAAUAUCUUCAACUGAACAUUCUUUUCUUGGAAGCUGCACCCUGUCAGCAUGGCUCACGUGUAUGUGAACUGCAAGAUCUAGUCUGGGAAGGCGGUCCUGUUCAUCGAUCCAACCUGCCCCUAAUACUGAAAUACCCAAGACUUCCUCAAUCAACUCCUUUGCAAACAUGGUCUUCUGGGAUUUGAAGACAUUACAUCUACUAACAACACCAAUUCAAUUCAAGAUUACUUUCAACAGCUCCCUGGAGUGAGAAUUGUUCCUUGGGUCCUUAUAUGUAGAGAAAGACUGCAUAGGCAGACACAGUGAUCUAAUCUACCUGCAACAGAAUGAAGAGAUGAUGUGGCUGAAGCAGAUUGGAGCUCUGCAUUUAUUAAAGGGAUGGCAGUAAAAGCCCAUGCUGACAGCAGACAUUCAGACAUGCUGAAGCCAUGCUGAGACUUGAUGUUUGUCACAGAUGAUGUCAGUAUUUUCUUAUGACUGGGAUUUUCAACAAAUUGGCUUUCAUUCUAUUCCUCAUUCCAAAAAAUCUGUUGCUGUAGGCCUCAAACCAUGGGGUAGGGAAACUUAAGAGACAACAGAGGUUUGAUAAUCCAGUCUUCUUUCACUGACUUGUCUCUACCUCUAAGUCCAUGUUUCACAAUCCAGUGCAUUUAAAUCUCCAGGGAAUCAGUUACUGUUUCUCUACCAUGCUGGUCUGCUGAAGUCAUUUUACAGAAGUCCACUUCCAAGUAAUUAUUAAAGCAAUGAAUAUUUUGAAGUUGUUUAUGAUCUACACACAGGCUUUUUACGCCCCAAGCAUGUACCAUCCCACUUCUGCAUUUGCAGCUCUCAGCCAGUGUUCUCGACCUAUCCAUCCAGCAACCCUUAGAUUCCACACUUUGUAUGAGGAUAAUAUUUGAAAAAAACAGAAGAAUAGCUGUAGCAUAGUUGUUCUUCACUGUAGCCAUAUUAACACAGACGGCAGAGCAUAUGAUGCAUUCAUCUCUGUUUGUAGUGUUUAAUUCCCCGUAAAGUCCCAAACAAUUGAGAGUUGAUUCUGUCAGAGUACCAGCAAAGUCAAAAAGGAAAUGCAAAAUUUCAGAAUUCUCCUUCCAAAGAUGUUUUGAAAGAAGUUGUUUGCAAAACACUGUCUUAAUAAAUUUAUUCCAUUCUCACUUUGAU